AUGUGAUCCAGGCAAGAGAGGACACAGGCCACCAGCACCCUAGAUGUCACCAGGAGCAGAUAUGGCUGAGGAGGUUUCUCUUUAACAAGUCCGUGUGGAAGGACACAACUCAAGGAGCACAAUGAUGCUGAAUGACCCUGGGCAUUCUCGACAUGGACUAGCCUCCAGAUACUGCUAGUCAGGCAUGGCCAAGAGGUCUUCAGAGAACAUUGUCUGCACCAUUCAACUGAUGGGACCAUGGCUGGCAUAGAUGUGGCCUCCAGGACUGCUCUAUUGGAUCUGACAUCAGCACAUUCCAAUGUUAUAUCCUGCCCCUAACACCCAGCUAUAACCUUUCUAUUUCUCUCCCAAUCAGGAAGGCACAGCAGAUUUGUGCAGAUGGGAAAUGCCUGGGCUUUGCCUACAGAGCCUUUUCCACGUUCACCACUUAUAGAGGGAAGAAGGAAAUGAUAGGCACUUCUGUAGUGUUCUGGCUGCUUAGUUUUCAUGAUCUCACUCAGUUCCCAAGGCAACCCUGUGAAGCAAGUAUUCCUGCUGUGCCCUUUUUACAGGAGAGACAGUUGAGUCAAGGAGAGAGCAUAUAGGGGUUUUCCUGGGCUUAUACUGCCUGUGAAUUAUCAUUAGGUCCCAGGUGAUCCAACAUGAGUGCCUAAAGAUGUGCAUGUUUGCACACACACACACACACACACACACACACACACACACACACACACACACACACACAGGAAAUUAAUAGAAACUUCCAUACUUCUGAAGAUGGAGAUGUCUAAUACCACAGUCACUGGAGCACAUAUUUGUGGACUGGACCCAGAUACUCGAUGAGGAAUAGUAGAAUAGGAAUAGGAAUAGUAGAAUAGGAAUAGCUCAGUAGAUGACAGCAGGACAAGUGAUAAUUGAAAACAGACUCCUCUGCACCUGCCUGGGUUCCCCCAAGCAGAUUAAACAGUCCCAGCACCACAGAAGAGAAGAGUGACAAUAUUCCAGGCUCAGCAAAAUCUCCCUGAGCUGAUUGAGG
ensembl:lncRNA